rnacentral:rRNA from 1 species
AACGAACGCUGGCGGCAUGCCUAACACAUGCAAGUCGAACGAGACCUUCGGGUCUAGUGGCGCACGGGUGCGUAAAGCGUGGGAACCUGCCCUUAGGCUCGGAAUAACUCCCCGAAAGGGGUGCUAAUACCGGAUAAUGUCCUCGGACCAAAGAUUUAUCGCCUUUGGAUGGGCCCGCGUUGGUUUAGCUAGUUGGUAGGGUAAAAGCCUACCAAGGCGACGCUCCAUAGCUGGUCUGAGAGGAUGAUCAGCCACACUGGGACUGAGACACGGCCCAGACUCCUACGGGAGGCAGCAGUGGGGAAUAUUGGACAAUGGGCGAAAGCCUGAUCCAGCAAUGCCGCGUGAGUGAUGAAGGCCUUAGGGUUGUAAAGCUCUUUUACCCGGGAUGAUAAUGACAGUACUGGGAGAAUAAGCUCCGGCUAACUCCGUG